rnacentral:lncRNA from 1 species
AUCAGGGUGCUAGCUUUCUCAUAGAGAUCACUCCUUGGAUUAUCGAAUCUUUUGCUUCUUUGAUUCUCUUCCUAAAAAAAUCAAAGAGAUUUGUAGGAUGAUCAAGAAAUCAGAUCUUAUAUGAUUUUUGUUUCCUUUCUCUUCUUAAGAGAAAAUAUGAAGAUCUUGAAAAAAUAAGAGAUAAAAUCUCUUUUCUUUUCUUUCCG